UGGUUGAUAGUCCAAUAUGAGGUUCAACAAGAGGAUCCACAGCAGCUGGGGCGGCAGCAAGUUGCACGGCAGCAGGUGGUCUGACAGCAGAGUGGACGGCAGCAGCUGGACACACCACAGCUGGGGCGGCAGGUGGUCUGACAACAGACUGGGUGGCAGCAGCUGGGGCGACAGCAAGUGGUCUGGCAGCAGGUAGUCUGAGAGCAG
rnacentral:lncRNA from 1 species